AUUGAACGCUGGCGGCAUGCUUUACACAUGCAAGUCGGACGGUAACAGGUUAAGCUGACGAGUGGCGAACGGGUGAGUAAUGCAUCGGAACGUGCCCGGUCGUGGGGGAUAACGCAGCGAAAGCUGCGCUAAUACCGCAUACGAUCUGAGGAUGAAAGCGGGGGACCGUAAGGCCUCGCGCGAUCGGAGCGGCCGAUGUCAGAUUAGGUAGUUGGUGGGGUAAAGGCUCACCAAGCCAACGAUCUGUAGCUGGUCUGAGAGGAAGACCAGCCACACUGGGACUGAGACACGGCCCAGACUCCUACGGGAGGCAGCAGUGGGGAAUUUUGGACAAUGGGCGAAAGCCUGAUCCAGCAAUGCCGCGUGCAGGAAGAAGGCCUUCGGGUUGUAAACUGCUUUUGUACGGAGCGAAAAGGUCUCCUCUAAUACAGGGGGCUCAUGACGGUACCGUAAGAAUAAGCACCGGCUAACUACGUGCCAGCAGCCGCAGUAA
rnacentral:rRNA from 1 species